UCGUUCGACAGUUUCUGGGGUAAGCCAGGAGCAGGAGCGCCUGUCGCGCAGUCUGGCGGCGGUCAUCAGAAACACGGCCUCGACGGUCUGUUGUCGUGCGACCACUCUCCGGUGAAAUCUCCACUAAAGCCAUCCCCCAAAAGAAUGUCACGCAGCAAGCACUCGAACAACUACGAGGGUGACUCUGCUGACGUCAUACCACAGUACACGCCCAUGCCUCCCUGGAGAACGGCGUAAACAUCCGCUACAGGUCCGGGAUCGUCAAAGUACUUCCGGACGCCAUCUACCGGCAGAGGUCGCUUCAGUAUGGGAGCUAUUUGGAUCACACUCGCCUGGCGUGCGUGCGUGUGCGUGUGCAUGUGCGUGCGUGUGCGUGCGUGCGUGUUCUUCCUUGCGCGCAUUCUUUCGGCCGCAUUACCAUCGACUACGAGUCUGUGGUGCCACCUAUUGAAAAAACUCGAGCGGUAAUGGAAUAGGGAGGCGAAAAAAGAAUUGAAUACAAUCUAUUACUCCGAAAUAUGAUCGCGGAAAUGCGGAUCGGUCCGUAUAUAUUGUUAGUGUGUAAUACUCGCUUGCAGUAAAUCGUAUAUAUAUUAUAUAUAUAUAUGUAUACGUAUAAUU